rnacentral:rRNA from 2 species
GGCGGCGUGCUUAACACAUGCAAGUCGAGCGGAAAGGCCCCUUCGGGGGUACUCGAGCGGCGAACGGGUGAGUAACACGUGAGCAACCUGCCCCUGACUUUGGGAUAAGCCCGGGAAACUGGGUCUAAUACCGGAUAUGACCACUUCGCGCAUGUGGGGUGGUGGAAAGUUUUUCGGUUGGGGAUGGGCUCGCGGCCUAUCAGCUUGUUGGUGGGGUGAUGGCCUACCAAGGCGACGACGGGUAACCGGCCUGAGAGGGCGACCGGUCACACUGGGACUGAGACACGGCCCAGACUCCUACGGGAGGCAGCAGUGGGGAAUAUUGCGCAAUGGGCGGAAGCCUGACGCAGCGACGCCGCGUGGGGGAUGACGGCCUUCGGGUUGUAAACCUCUUUCAGCAGGGACGAAGGGUGACUGACGGUACCUGCAGAAGAAGCGCCGGCUAACUACGUGCCAGCAGCCGCGGUAAUACGUAGGGCGCAAGCGUUGUCCGGAAUUAUUGGGCGUAAAGAGCUCGUAGGCGGUUUGUCGCGUCUGUCGUGAAAGCCCACGGCUUAACCGUGGGUCUGCGGUGGAUACGGGCAGACUAGAGGCAGGUAGGGGAGAAUGGAAUUCCCGGUGUAGCGGUGAAAUGCGCAGAUAUCGGGAGGAACACCGGUGGCGAAGGCGGUUCUCUGGGCCUGUACUGACGCUGAGGAGCGAAAGCGUGGGGAGCGAACAGGAUUAGAUACCCUGGUAGUCCACGCCGUAAACGUUGGGCGCUAGGUGUGGGGUUCUUCCACGGAUUCCGCGCCGUAGCUAACGCAUUAAGCGCCCCGCCUGGGGAGUACGGCCGC